rnacentral:rRNA from 1 species
GACGGAGGAUGCAAGCGUUAUCCGGAAUGAUUGGGCGUAAAGCGUCCGCAGGUGGCAGUUCAAGUCUGCUGUCAAAGACCGGGGCUUAACUUCGGAAAGGCAGUGGAAACUGAACAGCUAGAGUAUGGUAGGGGCAGAGGGAAUUCCUGGUGUAGCGGUGAAAUGCGUAGAGAGUCAGGAAGAACAUCGGUGGCGAAGGCGCUCUGCUGGACCAUAACUGACACUCAGGGAACGAAAGCUAGGGGAGCGAACGGG